GGGCUAAACCAUGCACCGAAGCUGCGGCAGCGACACUAUGUGUUGUUGGGUAGGGGAGCGUUCUGUAAGCCUGCGAAGGUGUGCUGUGAGGCAUGCUGGAGGUAUCAGAUGUGCGAAUGCUGACAUAAGUAACGAUAAAGCGGGUGAAAAGCCCGCUCGCCGGAAGACCAAGGGUUCCUGUCCAACGUUAAUCGGGGCAGGGUGAGUCGACCCCUAAGGCGAGGCCGAAAGGCGUAGUCGAUGGGAAACAGGUUAAUAUUCCUGUACUUGGUGUUACUGCGAAGGGGGGACGGAGAAGGCUAUGUUAGCCGGGCGACGGUUGUCCCGGUUUAAGCAUGUAGGCUGAUUGUCCAGGCA
rnacentral:rRNA from 1 species